UGGUUAAGCUAGAAAGAGCGCAGGGUGGAUGCUUGGCACUAAGAGCCGAUGAAAGACGUGAUAAGCUGCGAAAAGCUUCGGGGAGGAGCAAAUAUCCU
rnacentral:rRNA from 1 species